CUGAGAUUUGCCUUGAUCUGUGUGUACGUGCUUUAUGCAACUUUGUGCAUUCUGGCUGAAGGUGGCCUGAAACGGUGCUUCCAGGGGAAAGGUCACCUGCUGGCUCCAUGUCUUUGUUAGGGAUUUCUCUUCUUCAGAAGAGAAAGAACUUUAAAUGUGUGAAGAAACUGUCAUUCCUCCGAAACGCUGAGUCUUAAA
rnacentral:lncRNA from 11 species